UGGGGAAUAUUGCACAAUGGGCGCAAGCCUGAUGCAGCCAUGCCGCGUGUAUGAAGAAGGCCUUCGGGUUGUAAAGUACUUUCAGCGAGGAGGAAGGCGUUGUGGUUAAUAACCGCAACGAUUGACGUUACUCGCAGAAGAAGCACCGGCUAACUCCGUGCCAGCAGCCGCGGUAAUACGGAGGGUGCAAGCGUUAAUCGGAAUUACUGGGCGUAAAGCGCACGCAGGCGGUCUGUCAAGUCGGAUGUGAAAUCCCCGGGCUCAACCUGGGAACUGCAUCCGAAACUGGCAGGCUAGAGUCUUGUAGAGGGGGGUAGAAUUCCAGGUGUAGCGGUGAAAUGCGUAGAGAUCUGGAGGAAUACCGGUGGCGAAGGCGGCCCCCCUGGACAAAGACUGACGCUCAGGUGCGAAAGCGUGGGGCAGCAAACAGGAUUAGAUACCCUGGUAGUCCACGCCGUAAACGAUGUCGACUUGGAGGUUGUGCCCUUGAGGCGUGGCUUCCGGAGCUAACGCGUUAAGUCGACCGCCUGGGGAGUACGGCCGCAAGGUUAAAACUCAAAUGAAUUGAC
rnacentral:rRNA from 1 species